UAGCUCGCUUCGGCAGCACAUAUACUAAAACUGGAAUGAUACACGGCCCCUCCGCAAGGAUGACACGCAAAUUCGUGAAGCGUUCCAUGAAAGA
rnacentral:snRNA from 1 species